UCCUACGGGAGGCAGCAGUGAGGAAUAUUGGUCAAUGGGCGCAAGCCUGAACCAGCCAUGCCGCGUGAAGGACUAAGGCCCUAUGGGUCGUAAACUUCUUUUGUGGUGGAGCAAUAAGGCCUACGUGUAGGUCGAUGAGAGUACAUCACGAAUAAGCAUCGGCUAACUCCGUGCCAGCAGCCGCGGUAAUACGGAGGAUGCAAGCGUUAUCCGGAUUUAUUGGGUUUAAAGGGUGCGUAGGCUGUUCGACAAGUCAGGGGUGAAAUCCGGGCGCUUAACGCCCGAACUGCCUUUGAUACUGCCGGACUGGAAUACGGAUGCCGUGGGAGGAAUGAGUAGUGUAGCGGUGAAAUGCAUAGAUAUUACUCAGAACACCGAUUGCGAAGGCAUCUCACGAAUCCGUCAUUGACGCUGAGGCACGAAAGCGUGGGGAUCAAACAGGAUUAGAUACCCUGGUAGUCCACGCAGUAAACGAUGAUGACUAACCGUCGGCGAUACACUGUCGGUGGCUAAGCGAAAGCGAUAAGUCAUCCACCUGGGGAGUACGUUCGCAAGAAUGAAACUCAAAGGAAUUGACGGGGGCCCGCACAAGCGGAGGAACAUGUGGUUUAAUUCGAUGAUACGCGAGGAACCUUACCCGGGCUCGAACGGUGCAGGAAGGAAAUGGAGACAUUGACGCCCUUCGGGGCCUGCAUCGAGGUGCUGCAUGGUUGUCGUCAGCUCGUGUCGUGAGAUGUUGGCUUAAGUGCCAUAACGAGCGCAACCCUUGUCGCCAGUUACCAGCAAGUAAAGUUGGGGACUCUGGCGAGACUGCCACCGCAAGGUGAGAGGAAGGCGGGGAUGACGUCAAAUCAGCACGGCCCUUACGUCCGGGGCGACACACGUGUUACAAUGGCAACUACAGAGGGAAGCCACCUGGUGACAGGGAGCGGAUCUCCAAAAGUUGUCUCAGUUCGGAUUGGAGUCUGCAACUCGACUCCAUGAAGCUGGAUUCGCUAGUAAUCGCGCAUCAGCCAUGGCGCGGUGAAUACGUUCCCGGGCCUUGUACACACCGCCCGUCAAGCCAUGAAAGCCGGAGGUGCCUGAAGUUCGUGACCGCAAGGAGCGACCUAGGGCAAAUCUGGUAAUUGGGGCUAAGUCGUAACAAGGUAGCCA
rnacentral:rRNA from 1 species